GCAAAGGAGAAGGAGCCAGGAGUGGAACUGGAUUGCAAGGAGGGCUUUGUUACAAAAUGGCAUUCUCUAUCGGCAGCGGGGCUCAGGGCAGCAGCUGGUGGUUUCCCAAGUAGAGAUGCAAUACUUGCAUUGGGGCAUUCUGUUCCCUGGGCUGGCCACCUAGGUAAACACAAGACCACAGCAUAUAUUCAACAAUGCUUUCAUUGGCCCGGCUUGCGUAGAGAUGUUGCUCAGUUUUGCAGAAGUUGCCCUCAGUGCCAAAGGACAUCUUCCAGUAUUCCAUCCAAAGCUCCCCUCCAGCCAUUACCUAUCAUUGGUACUCCUUUUGAAUGUCUGGGGAUGGACAUUGUUGGUCCAGUUCAAAGGAGUAAGGCAGGAAACCGUUAUAUGCUGGUUAUAACAGAUUGUGACCAAAUACCCAGAGGUUUUUCCAUUGAAGUCCAUAAAAGCAAAAUUAGUGGCUUUUUGUUUAGUACAUUUCUUUUCCAGGAUGGGCUUCCCUUGGGAAAUUAACUGAUCAGGGUACUAAUUUUAUGUCUAUCCUGUUGAAGCAGGUCUAUCAGUUACUUGGCAUCAGGAGUUUGAGGACUACACCAUACCAUCCCCAAACUGAUGGCCUGACUGAGCGCUUCAAGACUCUGAAGCAGAUGCUCCGGAAGUUUGCGAACAGUAGUGAUGAGGGAUCGAUUGGAGAGAAUGCAUGAGCUUGCUCAGUUGCAUAUGAAAGAGGCCCAGCAGCACCAGAAGACUUGGUAUGAUCGGUCAGCUCGGCAGAGAUCCUUCGAGGUUAUCAUCGCUUUAUACCACAGUUCUCUGCCAGAGCAGCUAAGCUCACUGAUCUGACUGGUUUUCAGCAUCCCAAUCAGGUCCAGUGGACGGAGGAGGCUGUGGAAGCCUUUCAGGACAUCCAGCACUCAUUGAGUAAGAAUCCUGUUUUGUAUAGUCCAAAUUUUGAUGACCAUUU